UGAGGAAUAUUGGUCAAUGGGCGAGAGCCUGAACCAGCCAAGUAGCGUGCAGGAUGACGGCCCUAUGGGUUGUAAACUGCUUUUAUGUGGGGAUAAAGUGCGUGACGUGUCAUGCAUUGCAGGUACCACAUGAAUAAGUACCGGCUAAUUCCGUGCCAGCAGCCGCGGUAAUACGGAAGGUCCGGGCGUUAUCCGGAUUUAUUGGGUUUAAAGGGAGCGUAGGCUGUCUAUUAAGCGUGUUGUGAAAUUUACCGGCUCAACCGGUGGCUUGCAGCGCGAACUGGUCGACUUGAGUAUGCAGGAAGUAGGCGGAAUUCAUGGUGUAGCGGUGAAAUGCUUAGAUAUCAUGACGAACUCCGAUUGCGCAGGCAGCUUACUGUAGCAUAACUGACGCUGAUGCUCGAAAGUGCGGGUAUCAAACAGG
rnacentral:rRNA from 1 species